UGGGAUAUUUACACCAUUAUACAUAUGAAGCAACUUUUUCAUCGUUGCUGAAUGUGUUCAACACAUUUCAGCCAAUUUUCAUUUCUUAUUUUUGUUUUUCAAUUCAACCAAGCAAUAGAAAACAUAUCUUGCCCCUCUUUCGACUCAAUAAAGUACCAGCAACCUUUUCUUGCUUCUUUAGAUUUCACGAACUGAAUUUAGCAACUUUUUGUCCUUCUUUGCGUUUCAACGGAAUUCAGCAAAUAUUUUACAAAAUCUGGUUCAAAGAGUAUUAAAGAAAAUCCUAGAUUUUUUUUUUAAAAGUGAAGUAAGGUGGAAGAAGAAUAUUUCUUGGCACAUAAGAUCUUGGGAAGCCCGAGACUUAAGUUUGGAUUAGCUUAAGAAGUGGACAAGGCGCUGUGUUCAUGCCAUGCUACCCCAGAUUGUUUUGCAGGAAAGAUUAUACAGGAGACUGGCUGUAGGGUAUUCCCAAGCUAUCAGCUGGAUUGGUAAACUCCAUUUCAUUCGGAGUAUGGCCGAGUCAGAGUAUUUCUUUAUGAUUUGAGUCAGAUGCAUUAUGGGUAUGUUGGGGCUCUGUCCCAAAUUAUGUUUUGAUAUCAUGUUCUACAUUAGAGACUUUUGCAAACAGAGUCAUGUAUACAGUAUGUCGGUCUUGUAAGCGGCUAUGUAAGCCGACAUAUCAUUUUGCAUUACUUUACGAAUUCAUAUUAUUACAAAUUUUACUUGAUUUA